AACGUAGGUACCGAGCGUUAUCCGGAUUCACUGGGCGUAAAGCGCGUGCAGGUGGUUUGGUAAGUCGGGCAUGAAAACUCUUGGCUCAACUGAGAGACGCUGUCCGAUACUGCCGGACUUGAGGGUGUAAGAGGGAGGUGGAAUUCCGCAUGUAGUGGUGAAAUGCGUAGAUAUGCGGAGGAACACCAGUGGCGAAGGCGGCCUCCUGGACCGGUAUUGACGCUGAGGCGCGAAAGCUAGGGGAGCAAACGGGG
rnacentral:rRNA from 1 species